rnacentral:snRNA from 1 species
GUGCCUUAAACUAAUGAGUAAGGAAAAUAACGUGCCUUGGUAACGCUUGGCACCGCCAAGAAUUACUUGGUCGUAAUUUUUGGAAGGGUACAGGUCGUCCCUGUGUGACCUACCUACUUUCGUAGGUUGCUGGGUUGUUGUGAUCUGCCCU